rnacentral:lncRNA from 1 species
CAGAGCAGUACUAAAUUUUGAAAGAUUCAGGGGAAAUUGGGUCAGUUCUUGGGCCAACUAAGUGUCUUGUAUAUUUUGAAGCAUAUGGUAGAGAAGUCGAAAUUCAGAUGAGGCAGAAGAUAAAACAUUUCCACAGAGAUAGCACACACAGAGGUAGGAAGAUGAAGUCCAGGAGGUAGGCUGGUGAACUUUUGCCUCAGGCACUGCGUCAUGGAAAACUUAAGAACUUCCAUUCCUCUGCUAAACAAGAACAACACAAAUGUGGAGGAUUUGGAGGCUGGCAUCAAGGAUAUGGCCAUCAUCCAGCCUUUGGAUGAAAGGAGGAG